ACGCAGCGAAAUGCGAUACCUAGUGUGAAUUGCAGAAUUCCGCGAAUCAUCGAGUCUUUGAACGCAUAUUGCGCCCGAGGCUCGCGCCGAGGGCACGUCUGUCUGAGCGUCA
rnacentral:rRNA from 1 species